rfam:Schistosoma mattheei strain Denwood, Zambia genome assembly, scaffold: SMTD_scaffold0003328
AUCCAACUGACGAGUCCCAAAUAAGACAAGACGCGCAUCCUGGAU